rnacentral:rRNA from 1 species
UACGAAGGGGGCUAGCGUUGCUCGGAAUCACUGGGCGUAAAGCGCACGUAGGCGGACUCUUAAGUCAGGGGUGAAAUCCUGGAGCUCAACUCCAGAACUGCCUUUGAUACUGGGAGCCUUGAGUUCGGGAGAGGUGAGUGGAACUGCGAGUGUAGAGGUGAAAUUCGUAGAUAUUCGCAAGAACACCAGUGGCGAAGGCGGCUCACUGGCCCGAUACUGACGCUGAGGUGCGAAAGCGUGGGGAGCGAACGGG